rnacentral:rRNA from 1 species
GAUGAACGCUAGCGGGAGGCCUAACACAUGCAAGCCGAGCGGUAUUUGUUCUUCGGAACAGAGAGAGCGGCGCACGGGUGCGGAACACGUGUGCAACCUGCCUUUAUCUGGGGGAUAGCCUUUCGAAAGGAAGAUUAAUACCCCAUAAUAUAUUGAGUGGCAUCACUUGAUAUUGAAAACUCCGGUGGAUAGAGAUGGGCACGCGCAAGAUUAGAUAGUUGGUGAGGUAACGGCUCACCAAGUCAAUGAUCUUUAGGGGGCCUGAGAGGGUGAUCCCCCACACUGGUACUGAGACACGGACCAGACUCCUACGGGAGGCAGCAGUGAGGAAUAUUGGACAAUGGGUUAGCGCCUGAUCCAGCCAUCCCGCGUGAAGGACGACGGCCCUAGGGGUUGUAAACUUCUUGUGUAUAGGGAUAAACCUACUCUCGUGAGAGUAGCUGAAGGUACUAUACGAAUAAGCACCGGCUAACUCCGUG